rnacentral:rRNA from 1 species
CCUACGGGGUGCAGCAGUGGGGGAUAUUGCACAAUGGGGGAAACCCUGAUGCAGCGACGCCGCGUGGGUGAAGAAGCGCCUCGGCGCGUAAAGCCCUGUCAGCAGGGAAGAAAAUGACGGUACCUGAAGAAGAAGCCCUGGCUAACUACGUGCCAGCAGCCGCGGUAAUACGUAGGGGGCAAGCGUUAUCCGGAUUUACUGGGUGUAAAGGGGGCGCAGACGGCGAUGCAAGCCAGGAGUGAAAGCCCGGGGCCCAACCCCGGGACUGCUCUUGGAACUGCGUGGCUAGAGUGCAGGAGGGGCAGGCGGAAGUCCUGGUGUAGCGGUGAAAUGCGUAGAUAUCAGGAGGAACACCGGUGGCGAAGGCGGCCUGCUGGACUGCAACUGACGUUGAGGCCCGAAAGCGUGGGGAGCAAACAGGAUUAGAUACCCUUGUAGUC